rnacentral:piRNA from 1 species
UGAGCAAAGUAUGCAGAAAAGAGGUGA